rnacentral:rRNA from 1 species
UAAGGAAUCUUCCACAAUGGGGGCAACCCUGAUGGAGCAACGCCGCGUGAAGGAUGAAGGCCUUAGGGUCGUAAACUUCUUUUGUUAGCGAAGAAUAUGACGGUAACUAACGAAUAAGGGUCGGCUAACUACGUGCCAGCAGCCGCGGUCAUACGUAGGACCCAAGCGUUAUCCGGAGUGACUGGGCGUAAAGAGUUGCGUAGGCGGCUUAGUAAGUGGAUAGUGAAACCUGGUGGCUCAACCAUUCAGACUAUUAUCCAAACUGCUAAGCUCGAGAAUGGUAGAGGUGGCUGGAAUUUCUAGUGUAGGAGUGAAAUCCGUAGAUAUUAGAAGGAACACCGAUGGCGUAGGCAGGCCACUGGACCAUUUCUGACGCUAAGGCACGAAAGCGUGGGGAGCGAACCGG